ensembl:lncRNA
AUAGUGCUUCCAUCUGCAACACACUACAUUUUGCGUUUAACAAAGAUGAUUUUUUUCCCAAAGGAAUUCAUUGGACUAAGAGAAAGAGUGACAGAAAAUUCCUGCUUUUAAGGCCUUGAAGAAAACAAGGAACUUUGGUCAUGGCUGAGUUAGAUAGAUAAUUGUUGGAGAGUCAAAACACCAUCAUUAAAUGCUGGGAGAGUGCAACCUUGAGUUAUGGAUGGAAAUAAAACUUACCUUCAGAUCUACGCCAUUAAGAUGAGCAGCAAAUCAGAUGAGAAGAAACUGUGAAGGAAAACAAAUGGGUUUCCAGCUCCCUGGAUUUAAACCCCUCCACUCUGGAUUUGGAGGUCAAAGCUCACCACUCAAGGGGACACCUCAUAUUUUAUUUAAGCACUUUUUUUCCUAAGGAGCUGAAAGUACCUGGCAGACAUUAAGUCUUGUGCAGUGAAAGAAAACACAGAUAUUACUAAGUGAAGAGCUACAUUCAAAGAUAAGAGUCCCUUGGCCCAUCCAGUUCAAUAA